AAGAGACCUUUAAGACAGCUGGUCAUUAUGCCAACCGGGUGUCCGCGCUAAGUUCGGUAUCAAUAUGGUGACCUCCUGGGAGCAGGAGGCCAUCAGGUUGCCUAAGGAUGGGAGAACUGGCCCAGGUCAGAAAGGGACCAGGUCAGGACUCCCGCACCAAUCGGUAGUGGGACUGUGCCUGGGCAGUAUAGCAAGAUCUUGGUUCUU
rnacentral:SRP_RNA from 1 species